rnacentral:ncRNA from 1 species
AGAGUAAGAAUAUCGGCGUGAAGUGCCCGGCGGACGGGGAGUUGUCGUUGGGACGAAAAGCAUUUGUGCUUGCGGUUGGUAUUCUGCAUCCCGCU